rnacentral:rRNA from 1 species
AUUGAACGCUGGCGGCGUGCUUAACACAUGCAAGUCGAGCGGUAACAGGCGUAGCAAUACGUGCUGACGAGCGGCGAACGGGUGCGUAAUACAUCGGAAUCUGCCUCGUAGUGGGGAAUAACCCGGCGAAAGCCGGGCUAAUGCCGCAUACGAUCCACGGAUGAAAGCGGGGGACCGUAAGGCCUCGCGCUAUGAGAUGAGCCGAUGUCGGAUUAGCUAGUGGUGAGGUAAUGGCUCACCAAGGCGACGAUCCGUAGCUGGUCUGAGAGGACGGCCAGCCACACUGGGACUGAGACACGGCCCAGACUCCUACGGGAGGCAGCAGUGGGGAAUAUUGGACAAUGGGGAAACCCUGAUCCAGCGACGCCGCGUGUGUGAAGAAGGCCUGCGGGUUGUAAAGCACUUUCGUGGGAACG